CCAGCAACGCGCGGCCGGUCCACGCUUCGUGCGCGCCUGGAGGACUGGGUGACCCUUGGCUUCCCGGGGCGCCGGCGCCCCUUCCCCCGGGAUCCCCACGGACCGAGCGACCCAGCCUGCGCCUGCUCUCUGCGCUCCGCGUUGACCGAGAUUAGUUUUUUGACUGAAAUGGAAGUUGUUUAAUACAACUCUUUUUUAAAAUUUAAUUUAAAAAAUGUAGUCCAACGAGUAAUUGCUGAAGACCUCCUAAAUUAAGCGUCACCAUGAAAGUUCAAGUAUUCAUGAAGACUAGAAAGAUGCUGCCCUAAAGGAUAUAAAUAUCUACUAAGGAAGUGAAGGACUGUUAAAUGCAAAUUGACAUCCAGGAGAUUGGCCUGCUACCUGCCAGCUUUCAGUUUGCUGUGACUAUUCUUGCCUGGUGCGUCCCAGAAAGGCUGCUUUGGAAAACCACUGAUUCUCAAAUAAUGGCUGUCAUUUCUACAUCUGCGCCUAGUCUGACCUUUUCUCCCUUUUUCACAGGCCGCAAUCCCUGCUUCCUUCCUAUAAUUCUGCUUACCCCAUGAGGGCAACUAUGAAUGUGGCCUUGCUGUCUUCCUUCUAUCUGGUCCCAUCUGUACUGUAUCUAAUGGAAAUUAAUCCACAUUCCUAGAAGGUGUAUGUUAUUAUUUCCAAGUUUGCACUUCAGAUGCAGGUGUCUCUAUUCCAGGAUUGGUUCAUGAUGAACUUAUAUUCAUGUUCAUACCUUACCCAAAGUUAAUCCAGGAAAGGUAUUCAGACAAUCAAUGUUUAUAAAUAUUGGUUUUGUCAACUUAUUUAUGUCUUUUCCUCCCCAGGGAAACAAUUAA